GCCUGGGUGGCUCAGUGGUUGAGCGUCUGCCUCUGGCUUAGAUCAUGAUCCCGGGGUCCUGGGAUCGAGUCCCACAUCAGGCU
rfam:Canis lupus familiaris chromosome 24, whole genome shotgun sequence.